ACCCACGUGGUGUAGUGGUCAGCACGCUCGGCGCGUAUUCGAGAGGUCCGUGUGGUUCGAGUCCCGGCGAGGGCA
rnacentral:tRNA from 1 species